GACGAACGCUGGCGGUGUGCUUAACACAUGCAAGUCGAGCGGUAAGGCCCUUUCGGGGGUACACGAGCGGCGAACGAGUGAGUAACGCGUGGGUGACCUGCCCUCAGCUCUGGGAUAAGCCUGGGAAACCGGGUCUAAUACUGGAUAUGACUCCAUGACGCAUGUUGUGGGGUGGAAAGCCUUGUGCGGCUGAGGAUGGGCCCGCGGCCUAUCAGCUUGUUGGUGGGGUGAUGGCCUACCAAGGCGA
rnacentral:rRNA from 1 species